CGCCUCUUGAAGAAAAAAUAGAAGGUCCAACCUGCCCAGUGAAAUUUUUUCAACGGCCGCGGUAUCCUGACCGUGCUAAGGUAGCGCAAUCACUUGCCCUUUAAUUGGGGGCUAGUAUGAAUGGUCAAACGAGGGUGAAGCUGUCUCCUCUUAGAAAAUAAGAAAUUAUCCUACAUGUGAAGAGACAUGUAUGUUUUAGGAAGACGAGAAGACCCUGUCAAGCUUUUACAGGCAUUGUUUCUAAAACCCUAAAAGCUCUGCCCUGUUUUGUUGGGGCAACACCGGAACAAAAACUUCCGGCCACACCACAUCUUUUAAUUAAUAAGAUCCGACAAAGGUCGAACAAAGAACAAGCUACUGCAGGGAUAACAGGCUAAUCCGUCUCAAGAGCCCACAUUGACAGACGGGAUUGGCACCUCGAUGUUGGCUUAGGGACCCUGGCCGGGGCAGCACCUGGCCAAAGGAGGUUUGUUCAACCUAUGAUUCCCUA
rnacentral:rRNA from 1 species